AGCUCCAAUAGCGUAUAUUAAAGUUGCUGCAGUUAAAAAGCUCGUAGUUGCAUUUCCGAGGCAAGGGAUUAGUCCGACCUUUGGUGGGUAUUUAAUCCUCUUGCCUCGUCCUUGAGUGGUGCUUCUUGGUAUUAAGUUAUCGAGGAGAUAGCCGCUCAUCGUUUACUGUGAGAAAAUUAGAGUGUUCAAAGCAGGCUUAUGCCGUUGAAUAUAUUAGCAUGGAAUAAUAAGAUAGGACCUCGGUACUAUUUUGUUGGUUUGAGAGCCGAGGUAAUGAUGAAUAGGGACAGUUGGGGGUAUUCGUAUUCAGUUGUCAGAGGUGAAAUUCUUAGAUUUACGGAAGACGAACUACUGCGAAAGCAUUUACCAAGGAUGUUUUCA
rnacentral:rRNA from 1 species